UACGUAGGGUGCGAGCGUUGUCCGGAAUUAUUGGGCGUAAAGGGCUCGUAGGCGGUUUGUCACGUCGGGAGUGAAAACUUGGGGCUUAACCCUGAGCUUGCGGUCGAUACGGGCAGACUAGAGGUAGGUAGGGGAGAAUGGAAUUCCCGGUGUAGCGGUGAAAUGCGCAGAUAUCGGGAGGAACACCGGUGGCGAAGGCGGUUCUCUGGGCCUUACCUGACGCUGAGGAGCGAAAGCGUGGGGAGCGAACAGG
rnacentral:rRNA from 1 species